rnacentral:rRNA from 1 species
GGGCCCGCACAAGCGGUGGAGUAUGUGGUUUAAUUCGAUGCAACGCGAAGAACCUUACCAGGGCUUAAAUGUAAGUUGCAUUAGUUAGAGAUAGCUAUUUCUUCGGACUACUUACAAGGUGCUGCAUGGUUGUCGUCAGCUCGUGCCGUGAGGUGUCAGGUUAAGUCCUAUAACGAGCGCAACCCCUGUUGUUAGUUGCCAUCGAGUCAUGUCGGGAACUCUAACAAGACUGCCGGUGCAAACCGUGAGGAAGGUGGGGAUGACGUCAAAUCAUCACGGCCCUUACGUCCUGGGCUACACACGUGCUACAAUGGCCGGUACAGAGAGCAGCCACUACGCGAGUAGGCGCGAAUCUUCAAAGCCGGUCUCAGUUCGGAUCGGAGUCUGCAACUCGACUCCGUGAAGCUGGAAUC